AGCAGCAGCCAUAUCACUCUGCAACUCACAACUGGCAACCCACUGAAGCUAAGCAGGCGUGAGCCUGGUCAGUACCUGGAUGGGAGACCUCCUGGGAAAAACUAAGGUUGCUGCUGGAA
ensembl:rRNA 5S_rRNA 5S ribosomal RNA